rnacentral:rRNA from 1 species
GACGAACGCUGGCGGCGUGCUUAACACAUGCAAGUCGAACGGAAAGGCCCUGCUUUUGUGGGGUGCUCGAGUGGCGAACGGGUGAGUAACACGUGAGUAACCUGCCCUUGACUUUGGGAUAACUUCAGGAAACUGGGGCUAAUACCGGAUAGGAGCUCCUGCUGCAUGGUGGGGGUUGGAAAGUUUCGGCGGUUGGGGAUGGACUCGCGGCUUACCAGCUUGUUGGUGGGGUAGUGGCUUACCAAGGCUUUGACGGGUAGCCGGCCUGAGAGGGUGACCGGCCACAUUGGGACUGAGAUACGGCCCAGACUCCUACGGGAGGCAGCAGUGGGGAAUAUUGCACAAUGGGCGGAAGCCUGAUGCAGCAACGCCGCGUGCGGGAUGACGGCCUUCGGGUGGUAAACCGCUUUCGCCUGUGACGAAGCGUGAGUGACGGUAAUGGGUAAAGAAGCACCGGCUAACUACGU